rnacentral:rRNA from 1 species
ACUUUUGGUUCUAUUUUGUUGGUUUUUGAGAACCAGAGUAAUGAUGAAUAGGAACAGUUGGGGGCAUUCAUAUUCAAUUGCUAGAGGUGAAAUUCUUAGAUUGAUUGACGAUGAACUACUGCGAAAGCAUUUGCCAAGGAUGUUUCCAUUAAUCAAGAACGAAAGUUAGGGGAUCGAAGACAAUCAGAUACUGUCGUAGUCUUAACCAUAAACUAUGCCGACUAGAGAUCAGACAGGCUUAUUUUUCAUGACCUGUUUGGCAUCUUACG